rnacentral:rRNA from 1 species
AGAGGAUCGUGGAAUUCCAUGUGUAGCGGUGAAAUGCGUAGAUAUAUGGAGGAACACCAGUGGCGAAGGCGACGAUCUGGGCUGCAACUGACGCUCAGUCCCGAAAGCGUGGGGAGCAAAUAGGAUUAGAUACCCUAGUAGUCCACGCCGUAAACGAUGAGUACUAAGUGUUGGGGGUCAAACCUCAGUGCUGCAGUUAACGCAAUAAGUACUCCGCCUGAGUAGUACGUUCGCAAGAAUGAAACUCAAAGGAAUUGACGGGGGCCCGCACAAGCGGUGGAGCAUGUGGUUUAAUUCGAAGCAACGCGAAGAACCUUACCAGGUCUUGACAUACCUCUAAAGGCUCUAGAGAUAGAGAGAUAGCUAUAGGGGAUACAGGUGGUGCAUGGUUGUCGUCAGCUCGUGUCGUGAGAUGUUGGGUUAAGUCCCGCAACGAGCGCAACCCUUGUCGCUAGUUACCAUCAUUAAGUUGGGGACUCUAGCGAGACUGCCUCUGCAAGGAGGAGGAAGGCGGGGAUGACGUCAAAUCAUCAUGCCCCUUAUGACCUGGGCUACACACGUGCUACAAUGGACGGAUCAAAGGGAAGCGAAGCCGCGAGGUGGAGCGAAACCCAAAAACCCGUUCUCAGUUCGGACUGCAGUCUGCAACUCGACUGCACGAAGUUGGAAUCGCUAGUAAUCGCGAAUCAGAAUGUCGCGGUGAAUACGUUCUCGGGCCUUGUACACACCGCCCGUCACACCAUGAGAGUUGGUAACACCCGAAGCCGGUGGCUUAACCGCAAGGAGAGAGCUGUCUAAGGUGGGACUGAUGAUUAGGGUGAAGUCGUAACAAGGUAUCCCUACGGGAACGUGGGGAUG